AGAACGAACGCUGGCGGCAUGCCUAAUACAUGCAAGUCGAACGAACUCUUCGGAGUUAGUGGCGCACGGGUGCGUAACGCGUGGGAAUCUGCCCUUGGGUUCGGAAUAACAGUUGGAAACGACUGCUAAUACCGGAUGAUGACGAAAGUCCAAAGAUUUAUCGCCCAGGGAUGAGCCCGCGUAGGAUUAGCUAGUUGGUGAGGUAAAGGUUCACCAAGGCGACGAUCCUUAGCUGGUCUGAGAGGAUGAUCAGCCACACUGGGACUGAGACACGGCCCAGACUCCGUACGGGAGGCAGCAGUAGGGAAUA
rnacentral:rRNA from 1 species